rnacentral:rRNA from 1 species
UUAAGCGACUAAGCGUACACGGUGGAUGCCCUGGCAGUCAGAGGCGAUGAAGGACGUGCUAAUCUGCGAUAAGCGUCGGUGAGGUGAUAUGAACCGUUAUAACCGGCGAUUUCCGAAUGGGGAAACCCAGUGUGUUUCGACACACUAUCAUUAACUGAAUCCAUAGGUUAAUGAGGCGAACCGGGGGAACUGAAACAUCUAAGUACCCCGAGGAAAAGAAAUCAACCGAGAUUCCCCCAGUAGCGGCGAGCGAACGGGGAGGAGCCCAGAGCCUGAAUCAGUGUGUGUGUUAGUGGAAGCGUCUGGAAAGGCGUGCGAUACAGGGUGACAGCCCCGUACACAAAAAUGCACAUAUUGUGAGCUCGAUGAGUAGGGCGGGACACGUGGUAUCCUGUCUGAAUAUGGGGGGACCAUCCUCCAAGGCUAAAUACUCCUGACUGACCGAUAGUGAACCAGUACCGUGAGGGAAAGGCGAAAAGAACCCCGGCGAGGGGAGUGAAAAAGAACCUGAAACCGUGUACGUACAAGCAGUGGGAGCCUCUUAAUGGGGUGACUGCGUACCUUUUGUAUAAUGGGUCAGCGACUUAUAUUCUGUAGCAAGGUUAACCGAAUAGGGGAGCCGAAGGGAAACCGAGUCUUAACUGGGCGUUAAGUUGCAGGGUAUAGACCCGAAACCCGGUGAUCUAGCCAUGGGCAGGUUGAAGGUUGGGUAACACUAACUGGAGGACCGAACCGACUAAUGUUGAAAAAUUAGCGGAUGACUUGUGGCUGGGGGUGAAAGGCCAAUCAAACCGGGAGAUAGCUGGUUCUCCCCGAAAGCUAUUUAGGUAGCGCCUCGUGAAUUCAUCUCCGGGGGUAGAGCACUGUUUCGGCAAGGGGGUCAUCCCGACUUACCAACCCGAUGCAAACUGCGAAUACCGGAGAAUGUUAUCACGGGAGACACACGGCGGGUGCUAACGUCCGUCGUGAAGAGGGAAACAACCCAGACCGCCAGCUAAGGUCCCAAAGUCAUGGUUAAGUGGGAAACGAUGUGGGAAGGCCCAGACAGCCAGGAUGUUGGCUUAGAAGCAGCCAUCAUUUAAAGAAAGCGUAAUAGCUCACUGGUCGAGUCGGCCUGCGCGGAAGAUGUAACGGGGCUAAACCAUGCACCGAAGCUGCGGCAGCGACACUAUGUGUUGUUGGGUAGGGGAGCGUUCUGUAAGCCUGUGAAGGUGUGCUGUGAGGCAUGCUGGAGGUAUCAGAAGUGCGAAUGCUGACAUAAGUAACGAUAAAGCGGGUGAAAAGCCCGCUCGCCGGAAGACCAAGGGUUCCUGUCCAACGUUAAUCGGGGCAGGGUGAGUCGACUCCUAAGGCGAGGCCGAAAGGCGUAGUCGAUGGGAAACAGGUUAAUAUUCCUGUACUUGGUGUUACUGCGAAGGGGGGACGGAGAAGGCUAUGUUGGCCGGGCGACGGUUGUCCCGGUUUAAGCGUGUAGGCUGGUUUUCCAGGCAAAUCCGGAAAACCAAGGCUGAGGCGUGAUGACGAAGCACUACGGUGCUGAAGUGACAAAUGCCCUGCUUCCAGGAAAAGCCUCUAAGCAUCAGGUAACAUCAAAUCGUACCCCAAACCGACACAGGUGGUCAGGUAGAGAAUACCAAGGCGCUUGAGAGAACUCGGGUGAAGGAACUAGGCAAAAUGGUGCCGUAACUUCGGGAGAAGGCACGCUGAUAUGUAGGUGAAGCGACUUGCUCGUGGAGCUGAAAUCAGUCGAAGAUACCAGCUGGCUGCAACUGUUUAUUAAAAACACAGCACUGUGCAAACACGAAAGUGGACGUAUACGGUGUGACGCCUGCCCGGUGCCGGAAGGUUAAUUGAUGGGGUUAGCGGUAACGCGAAGCUCUUGAUCGAAGCCCCGGUAAACGGCGGCCGUAACUAUAACGGUCCUAAGGUAGCGAAAUUCCUUGUCGGGUAAGUUCCGACCUGCACGAAUGGCGUAAUGAUGGCCAGGCUGUCUCCACCCGAGACUCAGUGAAAUUGAACUCGCUGUGAAGAUGCAGUGUACCCGCGGCAAGACGGAAAGACCCCGUGAACCUUUACUAUAGCUUGACACUGAACAUUGAGCCUUGAUGUGUAGGAUAGGUGGGAGGCUUUGAAGUGUGGACGCCAGUCUGCAUGGAGCCGACCUUGAAAUACCACCCUUUAAUGUUUGAUGUUCUAACGUGGGCCCCUUACCGGGGUUGCGGACAGUGUCUGGUGGGUAGUUUGACUGGGGCGGUCUCCUCCUAAAGAGUAACGGAGGAGCACGAAGGUUGGCUAAUCCUGGUCGGACAUCAGGAGGUUAGUGCAAUGGCAUAAGCCAGCUUGACUGCGAGCGUGACGGCGCGAGCAGGUGCGAAAGCAGGUCAUAGUGAUCCGGUGGUUCUGAAUGGAAGGGCCAUCGCUCAACGGAUAAAAGGUACUCCGGGGAUAACAGGCUGAUACCGCCCAAGAGUUCAUAUCGACGGCGGUGUUUGGCACCUCGAUGUCGGCUCAUCACAUCCUGGGGCUGAAGUAGGUCCCAAGGGUAUGGCUGUUCGCCAUUUAAAGUGGUACGCGAGCUGGGUUUAGAACGUCGUGAGACAGUUCGGUCCCUAUCUGCCGUGGGCGCUGGAGAACUGAGGGGGGCUGCUCCUAGUACGAGAGGACCGGAGUGGACGCAUCACUGGUGUUCGGGUUGUCAUGCCAAUGGCACUGCCCGGUAGCUAAAUGCGGAAGAGAUAAGUGCUGAAAGCAUCUAAGCACGAAACUUGCCCCGAGAUGAGUUCUCCCUGACUCCUUGAGAGUCCUGAAGGAACGUUGAAGACGACGACGUUGAUAGGCCGGGUGUGUAAGCGCAGCGAUGCGUUGAGCUAACCGGUACUAAUGAACCGUGAGGCUUAACCUU